AGAGUUUGAUCCUGGCUCAGGACGAACGCUGGCGGCGUGCCUAAUACAUGCAAGUCGAGCGGACGAAUCGAAAGCUUGCUUUUGAAUCGUUAGCGGCGGACGGGUGAGUAACACGUGGGCAACCUGCCCUGUAGACGGGGAUAACACCGAGAAAUCGGUGCCAAUACCGGAUAACACGAAAUGUCGCAUGACGUCUCGUUGAAAGACGGCGCAGGCUGUCGCUACAGGAUGGGCCCGCGGCGCAUUAGCUAGUUGGUGAGGUAACGGCUCACCAAGGCGACGAUGCGUAGCCGACCUGAGAGGGUGAUCGGCCACACUGGGACUGAGACACGGCCCAGACUCCUACGGGAGGCAGCAGUAGGGAAUCUUCCGCAAUGGACGAAAGUCUGACGGAGCAACGCCGCGUGAGCGAAGAAGGCCUUCGGGUCGUAAAGCUCUGUUGUUAGGGAAGAACAAGUAACGCAGUAACUGGCGUUACCGUGACGGUACCUAACGAGAAAGCCACGGCUAACUACGUGCCAGCAGCCGCGGUAAUACGUAGGUGGCAAGCGUUGUCCGGAAUUAUUGGGCGUAAAGCGCGCGCAGGCGGUUCCUUAAGUCUGAUGUGAAAGCCCACGGCUCAACCGUGGAGGGUCAUUGGAAACUGGGGGACUUGAGUGCAGAAGAGGAGAGCGGAAUUCCACGUGUAGCGGUGAAAUGCGUAGAGAUGUGGAGGAACACCAGUG
rnacentral:rRNA from 1 species